GGCUGUUCUCGACCACCUCGGUCCCGCGGGUGUUGUCCAAGGUCUCGUACAGGCUGUUCUCGACCACCUCGGUCCCGCGGGUGUUGUCCAAGGUCUCGUACAGGCUGUUCUCGACCACCUCGGUCCCGCGGGUGUUGUCCAAGGUCUCGUACAGGCUGUUCUCGACCACCUCGGUCCCGCGGGUGUUGUCCAAGGUCUCGUACAGGCUGUUCUCGACCACCUCGGUCCCGCGGGUGUUGUCCAAGGUCUC